rnacentral:rRNA from 1 species
CAGAACGAACGUUGGCGGCGUGGAUUAGGCAUGCAAGUCGAACGAGAAAGCGUCCUUCGGGACGUGAGUACAGUGGCGAACGGGUGAGUAACGGGUGGGAAACCUGCCUUGGUGUGGGGGAUAACAUUCCUAACGGGAUGCUAAUACCGCAUGUUUCGAGGAGUCGUAUGGCUCCUGGGAAAGCGGGGCCUCUCAUGUAAGCUCGUGCUCGAUGAUGGUUCCGCGUCCCAUUAGCUUGUUGGUGGGGUAAAGGCCUACCAAGGCAACGAUGGGUAGCCGGCCUGAGAGGGUGUCCGGCCUCACUGGGACUGAGAUACGGCCCAGACUCCUACGGGAGGCAGCAGUCGAGAAGCUUCGGCAAUGGGCGAAAGCCUGACCGAGCGACGCCGCGUGAGCGAUGAAGGCCCUUGUGGUUGUAAAGCUCUGUCAGGAGGGAAUAAAGCACCAUGACUAAUACUUGUGGUGUCUGAAGGUACCUCCAAAGGAAGCACCGGCUAACUCCGUGCCAGCAGCCGCGGUAAUACGGAGGGUGCAAACGUUGUUCGGAUUUACUGGGUGUAAAGGGUGCGUAGGCGGCCUUGUGUGUCGGAGGUGAAAUUCAGUGGCUCAACCACUGAACUGCCCCCGAAACUGCAGGGCUUGAGUCCGUGAGAGGUAGGUGGAAUUCCUGGUGUAACGGUGAAAUGUGCAGAUAUCAGGAAGAACACCCGUGGCGAAGGCGACCUACUGGUGCGGAACUGACGCUGAGGCACGAAAGCUAGGGUAUCGAACGGGAUUAGAUACCCCGGUAGUCCUAGCCGUAAACGAUGUCUACUAGGUGUCGGGGGUUCUACCCCUUCGGCGCCGCCGCUAACGCAUUAAGUAGACCACCUGGGGAGUACGAUCGCAAGGUUGAAACUCAAAGGAAUUGACGGGGGCCCGCACAAGCGGUGGAGGCCUGUGCGUUAUUCGAUUGCACGCGAAAACCUUACCUGGCCUGACCUGCCCGGGACGGGGUGUGGAGAUCCGCCCCUUCUUCGGACUCCUGUACAGGUGCUGCAUGGCUGUCGUCAGCUCGUGUCGUGAAAUGUUGUGGUUAAGCUCCCGCAACGAGCGCAACCCUUGUCCUUAGUUGCCACACGUAAUGGUGGGAACUCUAGGGAGACUGCCGGUGACAAACCGGAGGAAGGUGGGGAUGACGUCAAGUCAUCAUGGCCCUUACGUCCCGGGCUACACACGUGCUACAAUGGCUUGUACAAAGGGUUGCGAACCCGCGAGGGGGAGCCAAUCCCAAAAACAAGCCUCAGUUCGGAUUGUAGUCUGCAACUCGACUACAUGAAGUCGGAAUCGCUAGUAAUCGUGGAUCAGCAUGCCACGGUGAAUCCGUUCCCGGGCCUUGUACACACCGCCCGUCAAGUCAGCCGAAUUGGUUGCACCCGAAGUCGUUGAGCC